rnacentral:tRNA from 1 species
GGUAGAGUGGUCGAUUACGGCAGUCUUGAAAACUGUUGAGCUGAAAGGCUCCGGGGGUUCGAAUCCCUCC